CAGUAGCCGCGGUAAUGCAGAGGAUGCAAGCGUUAUCCGGAAUGAUUGGGCGUAAAGCGUCUGUAGGUGGCUUUUCAAGUCCGCCGUCAAAUCCCAGGGCUCAACUCUGGACAGGCGGUGGAAACUACCAAGCUGGAGUACGGUGGGGGCAGAGGGAGUUUCCGGUGGAGCGGUGAAAUGCGUUGAGAUCGGAGAGAACACCAACGGCGAAAGCACUCUGCUGGGCCGACACUGACACUGAGAGACGAAAGCUAGGGGAGCAAAUGGGAUUAGAUACCCCCGUAGUCCCUGUCACUUAUAA
rnacentral:rRNA from 1 species